rnacentral:rRNA from 1 species
AACGAACGCUGGCGGCAUGCCUAACACAUGCAAGUCGAACGAGAUCUUCGGGUCUAGUGGCGCACGGGUGCGUAACGCGUGGGAAUCUGCCCUUUGGUUCGGAAUAACAGUUGGAAACGACUGCUAAUACCGGAUGAUGACGAAAGCCCAAAGAUUUAUCGCCAGAGGAUGAGCCCGCGUAGGAUUAGCUAGUUGGUGUGGUAAAGGCGAACCAAGGCGACGAUCCUUAGCUGGUCUGAGAGGAUGAUCAGCCACACUGGGACUGAGGCACGGCCCAGGCUCCUACGGGAGGCAGCAGUGGGGAAUAUUGGACAAUGGGCGAAAGCCUGAUCCAGCAAUGCCGCGUGAGUGAUGAAGGCCUUAGGGUUGUAAAGCUCUUUUACCCGGGAUGAUAAUGACAGUACCGGGAGAAUAAGCUCCGGCUAACUCCGUGCCAGCCGCCGCGGUAA